rnacentral:rRNA from 1 species
AAUAGAUACCCCGGUAGUCCACGCCGUAAACGAUGAGUGCUAAGUGUUAGAGGGUUUCCGCCCUUUAGUGCUGCAGCUAACGCAUUAAGCACUCCGCCUGGGGAGUACGGUCGCAAGACUGAAACUCAAAGGAAUUGACGGGGGCCCGCACAAGCGGUGGAGCAUGUGGUUUAAUUCGAAGCAACGCGAAGAACCUUACCAGGUCUUGACAUCCCACUGACCGGUCUAGAGAUAUACCUUUCCCUUCGGGGACAGUGGUGACAGGUGGUGCAUGGUUGUCGUCAGCUCGUGUCGUGAGAUGUUGGGUUAAGUCCCGCAACGAGCGCAACCCUUGAUCUUAGUUGCCAGCAUUUAGUUGGGCACUCUAAGGUGACUGCCGGUGACAAACCGGAGGAAGUGGGGAUGACGUCAAAUCAUCAUGCCCCUUAUGACCUGGGCUACACACGUGCUACAAUGGAUGGUACAAAGGGCUGCAAGACUGCGAAGUCAAGCCAAUCCCAUAAAACCAUUCUCAGUUCGGAUUGCAGG